GGACUACUGGGGUAUCUAAUCCCGUUCGCUCCCCUGGCUUUCGCACCUCAGCGUCAGUCGCUCGCCAGGACACUGCCUUCGCCUUCGGUGUUCCUCCGGAUCUCUACGCAUUUCACCACUCCACCCGGAAUUCCGUGUCCCUCUCGAGCUCUCAAGUCACGCCGUCUUUCGUAUCCUCGGAAAGUUAAGCCUCCCGCUGUCACACAAAACGCGCCUGACCGCCUGCAUGCCCUUUACGCCCAGUAACUCCGGACAACGCUCGCCCCCUACGUAUUACCGCGGCUGCUGGCAC
rnacentral:rRNA from 1 species